rnacentral:rRNA from 1 species
UUGACCUCGGAUCAGGUAGGAAUACCCGCUGAACUUAAGCAUAUCAAUAAGCGGAGGAAAAGAAACCAACAGGGAUUGCCUCAGUAACGGCGAGUGAAGCGGCAACAGCUCAAAUUUGAAAUCUGGCCUUGUGCCCGAGUUGUAAUUUGUAGAGGAUGCUUUCGGCGCGGCGCCUUCCGAGUUCCCUGGAACGGGACGCCAUAGAGGGUGAGAGCCCCGUAUGGUCGGAUGCCAAACCACUGUAAAGCUCCCUCGACGAGUCGAGUAGUUUGGGAAUGCUGCUCAAAAUGGGAGGUAAAUUUCUUCUAAAGCUAAAUACCGGCCAGAGACCGAUAGCGAAAAAGUAGAGUGAUCGAAAGAUGAAAAGCACUUUGAAAAGAGGGUUAAACAGCACGUGAAAUUGUUGAAAGGGAAGCGCUUGUGACCAGACCUGCGCCCUGGGGAUCAUCCGGCGUUCUCGCCGGUGCACUCCGCUGGGCUGCAGGCCAGCAUCGGUUCUCCUAGGGGGAUAAAAGCUUCGGGAACGUGGCUCCUUAGGGAGUGUUAUAGCCCGUUGCAUAAUACCCUUGGGGGGACCGAGGUACGCGCUCCGCAAGGAUGCUGGCGUAAUGGUCAUCAGCGACCCGUCUUGAAACACGGACCAAGGAGUCAAGCAUUAGGGCGAGUGUUUGGGUGCAAAACCCGCACGCGAAAUGAAAGUGAACGUAGGUGAGAGCUUCGGCGCAUCAUCGACCGAUCCUGAUGUUCUCGGAUGGAUUUGAGUAAGAGCCUUACCGCUUGGACCCGAAAGAUGGUGAACUAUGCCUGUAUAGGGUGAAGCCAGAGGAAACUCUGGUGGAGGCUCGCAGCGGUUCUGACGUGCAAAUCGAUCGUCAAAUAUGGGCAUGGGGGCGAAAGACUAAUCGAACUAUCUAGUAGCUGGUUACCGCCGAAGUUUCCCUCAGGAUAGCAGUGUUGUUUUCAGUUUUAUGAGGUAAAGCGAAUGAUUAGGGACUCGGGGGCGCUAUUUUGCCUUCAUCCAUUCUCAAACUUUAAAUAUGUAAGAAGCCCUUGUUACUUUGUUGAACGUGGGCCUUCGAAUGCAGCAACACUAGUGGGCCAUUUUUGGUAAGCAGAACUGGCGAUGCGGGAUGAACCGAACGCGGGGUUAAGGUGCCAGAGUGGACGCUCAUCAGACACCACAAAAGGCGUUAAUACAUCUUGACAGCAGGACGGUGGCCAUGGAAGUCGGAAUCCGCUAAGGACUGUGUAACAACUCACCUGCCGAAUGUAUUAGCCCUGAAAAUGGAUGGCGCUCAAGCGUCCCACCCAUACCCCGCCCUCAGGGUAGAAACGAUGCCCUGAGGAGUAGGCGGCCGCGGGGGCGGUGACGAAGCCCAGGGCGUGAGCCCGGGUCGAACCGCCCCUGGUGCAGAUCUUGGUGGUAGUAGCAAAUACUUCAAUGAGAACUUGAAGGACCGAAGUGGGGAAAGGUUCCAUGUGAACAGCGGUUGGACGUGGGUUAGCCGAUCCUAAGCCAUAGGGAAGUUCCGUUUCAAAGGGGCACUCGUGCCCCGUAUGGCGAAAGGGAAGCAGGUCAAUAUUCCUGCGCCUGGAUGCGGGUUUUUCGCGGCAACGCAACUGAACGCGGAGACGGCGGCGGGGGCCCCGGGCAGAGUUCUCUUUUCUUCUUAACGGUCUGCCACCCUGAAAACAGUUUGUCUGGAGAUAGGGUCCCAUGGCCGGAAGAGCCCAGCACCUCUGCUGGGUCCGGUGCGCCCCCGACGUCCCUU